GAGUGCAAAAAGGAAAGUUGAUUGCUUUCUACACCUUCCAAACUCAAUCAGCUUUAAGGCAUGCAACCAAUAAGGAGCAUUUAGUCAGCUUGCAUGUCACAUGUGUGGGCAAAAAUCCUGCACCCAAUUACUCCUCCUUGGACGCUCCAUGGAGAGAGAGAAGACUUGAUUUUCUUCUGAUCUUUGAAUCUUUUAAAUCAGCCAUCUCAACCCUUGUCUUGAACUCCCAAGCGCUGUAUGAAGAUAACAAAGGACUACUGAAUCAUUUUGUUGAAACAGAACCCAACUUAGCUCCAUAAGCAGCCUCAAACCCCCCACUUUUUCCUUCCCCAUGCGCUGAUGUUGUAGAAGAAAUAUAGGUUGAAGCUUUGACUCUUGAAACAAAAACAAACUUAGCCAUUUCAUCCCCCACUCUUCCCCUAAAAUCGUGAGUCAAGUAGUGAGUAAGUAUCCAGAAAUAAGUUCACACUAUUCCUAACCUUCUUGCUCAAAUCGAGGACCUCUAUAGCACCAUUGUCAUCAAGCCUUCACCUCCUUCCUCUUUGCUCAGCCGAAGCUUCAUACAAGGAGGAUUGAAUUCAAGAAAAUCCUCCUUCUCCCUUGGUGCGCACAGCCACGGUUUGGAGGGCUGAGUUUGAUGUGUUCGUAGAGCUUUGAAAGCAGUGUUACCCCUUGUUCAAUUCGGUUUUCUGUGUGUUUUUGCAAGAGGAUGACCGUUGUUCAAGUGAGCAGAAUGGAGUAGGCAUGACAAAGAAAAUAAACUUCUUCCUAACAUACUCAAGGAUGCAGAGACAGAGAUGGUAAAAGGAUUGCUUGAGAUUGACUCACCUCUUCUUCUCU